rnacentral:rRNA from 1 species
UACGUAGGGUGCGAGCGUUGUCCGGAAUUAUUGGGCGUAAAGGGCUCGUAGGCGGUCUGUCGCGUCGAAAGUGAAAACCCAGGGCUUAACCCUGGGCCUGCUUCCGAUACGGGCAGACUAGAGGUAUGCAGGGGAGAACGGAAUUCCUGGUGUAGCGGUGAAAUGCGCAGAUAUCAAGAGGAACACCUGCGGCGAAGGCGGGUUGCUGGGCCGACACUGACGCUGAGGCUCGAAAGCUAGGGGAGCGAACGGG